UACGAAGGGUGCAAGCGUUAAUCGGAAUUACUGGGCGUAAAGGGUGCGUAGGCGGUUUGUUAAGUCUGUUGUGAAAUCCCCGGGCUCAACCUGGGAAUGGCAAUGGAUACUGGCAAGCUAGAGUGUGUCAGAGGAUGGUGGAAUUCCAGGUGUAGCGGUGAAAUGCGUAGAUAUCUGGAGGAACAUCAGUGGCGAAGGCGGCUUCCUGGCCCAAAACUGACGCUGAGGUGCGAAAGCGUGGGGAGCAAACAGG
rnacentral:rRNA from 1 species